UGACGUUGGGAAAGCGAGCGGCGGAUGGGUGAGUAACACGUGGGGAACCUGCCCCUAAGUCUGGGAUACCAUUUGGAAACAGGUGCUAAUACCGGAUAAUAAAGCAGAUCGCAUGAUCAGCUUUUGAAAGGCGGCGUAAGCUGUCGCUAAGGGAUGGCCCCGCGGUGCAUUAGCUAGUUGGUAAGGUAACGGCUUACCAAGGCGACGAUGCAUAGCCGAGUUGAGAGACUGAUCGGCCACAUUGGGACUGAGACACGGCCCAAACUCCUACGGGAGGCAGCAGUAGGGAAUCUUCCACAAUGGACGCAAGUCUGAUGGAGCAACGCCGCGUGAGUGAAGAAGGUUUUCGGAUCGUAAAGCUCUGUUGUUGGUGAAGAAGGAUAGAGGUAGUAACUGGCCUUUAUUUGACGGUAAUCAACCAGAAAGUCACGGCUAACUACGUGCCAGCAGCCGCGGUAAUACGUAGGUGGCAAGCGUUGUCCGGAUUUAUUGGGCGUAAAGCGAGCGCAGGCGGAAAAAUAAGUCUAAUGUGAAAGCCCUCGGCUUAACCGAGGAACUGCAUCGGAAACUGUUUUUCUUGAGUGCAGAAGAGGAGAGUGGAACUCCAUGUGUAGCGGUGGAAUGCGUAGAUAUAUGGAAGAACACCAGUGGCGAAGGCGGCUCUCUGGUCUGCAACUGACGCUGAGGCUCGAAAGCAUGGGUAGCGAACAGGAUUAGAUACCCUGGUAGUCCAUGCCGUAAACGAUGAGUGCUAAGUGUUGGGAGGUUU
rnacentral:rRNA from 1 species